rnacentral:rRNA from 1 species
GGGAGUGAAAUAGAACCUGAAACCCUGCACUUACAAGCUGUGGAAGCACAUUUCUUGUGUGACCGCGUACUUUUUGUAGAACGGGCCAACGAGUUACGUUAAGUAGCAAGGUUAAGCACUUAAGGUGCGGAGCCGUAGCGAAAGCGAGUUUUAACUGAGCGUUCAGUUACUUGACGUAGACCCGAAACCGGGCGACCUACCCAUGGGCAGGAUGAAGCGAAAGUAAAAUGUCGUGGAGGUCCGAACCCACGAGCGUUGAAAAGCUCGGGGAUGACUUGUGGGUAGCGGUGAAAUUCCAAUCGAGCCCGGAGAUAGCUGGUUCUCCCCGAAAUAGCUUUAGGGCUAGCCUCAAGGUGA